rnacentral:lncRNA from 1 species
UUCAUAACGAAAAAGCAAGACACUCUCACAGCUCUCCCGUUUUAUGAUGUAAAAUAGUACCCACUGUUACAUUGCAGUGAUUUUAAAAAUCUAGUGCAUGUGUGACUUCGCCAGGUUAAUAGUGUUAUAAGUUCAGCUCAGUGAUAAAAAAACAUAAAUAAUAUUUGUACUUUAAUCUCUUUUCUGAAUUUUCCAACCAUAUCUCUUACAUUUAAGACCUGAAAUGGCAUUUCGGGAUCCAUGAACAGAACACUUGUAUCCUCUAUUUAGGCACCCCAGUUCAUAUUGUUUUAGCUUUCUUCUUAUUUAUGAUCAAAGUGUAGGCUCACUUUGCAGCGUUAUGCUGACAAUUUACAACCAGCACAUAAAUGCCCCUUGUCUUGUGAUUUAUGGUGGGCCCUGACUUGCUGUCCACGACCUCUUUCUCUCAGGUCCCCAUUCAUUGCUCAUCUCAGGCAACCAGUUGAAAUUCAUUAGCUUAGGUACCUGUUGAAAAAGGAAAGCCAGGGUUUAAACAGUGUCUACAUUAUCUCCAGGCCCUUGAUGCCAUCGUGUCAGAGGAGUGAAAGGUAACUAUUUGUGAUAGUUUGGUCUGAGAACUGCUUAGAACAUAACUGAACUUUGUUGACAGUUCCAGGUAACACUCACCAGAGGAAAAAUAAAAGGCAAAACAAGUUUUGGAUAUGAAAUUAAUUGAGAAAAAGCCAGUCUAACUGUCAAAAGGGAAGAACCUUGAGAAGAAAGGCAGCUUCUAAAGGUCAACACUCAGCGUGCUGUAAUCUUUACCAUCUGUGUUCAAGCUGGGAAUAAGGGGAAAAACCAUCAAAGCGUUCUUGCAGCCUAACUGCCAGAGAGGGUACUGAAGUUGAGAAUUACAGACAUGGAGCUACGGAAUCUGAGUCGACUCGAGCGGAGUUUUUCCAAAGCUCAGAUGCCUCCCCCCAGGACAGAGAGGGGGACAACCUGAACAUUCCAGUCUGCGUGGGGGAAAUUUGAGGCAUCCACUUCAAGCUGUAACAACC